GUCCCUGUAGCCCAAUGGACAGAGCCCUGGACUUCUAAUCCAAAGGUCGUGGGUUCGAAUCCCACCUGGGAUA